rnacentral:lncRNA from 1 species
CUGACAUUUAUUGAAAAUAAGGAAAAGACUUUCUCCAGGUAGUGUAUUAGAGCAGAGCAGAAUGCAGGGGUUACUGUGUUGAACAAAAGGCACACAUCAGAGAGACAGUUGCAAACUCAGAAUACUGGGUUAUGGGCAAAACUAACUGGUCCACAAGAGAAAAUGAGAGACUCGAUUUGGCUGCCAGGCACACCUGGGCCUAGGCAAGAACACAAGAGGUUUCUGGGGGUGGGGAGGAAAUAGGUCUCGCUGAAGGUGACAGAUCCCUUGGGGGGCGGCCAGCUGUCUGGAUCACUGUCCAGGGACUGUGGCCAGCCCAGAUACCUCCGAGGUGAGUCCAGAUCACUAGGAGCAGCAGUCUGUCGGUGGGAUGCGAUGGAUGGCGAUGGCUGUGGCAGCGCAGGUCUGUGGGCAGAAUGAUGUAGUCGUCUGGAAGUCUGGUGGGGAGGAGAGGGCUUGGCAGCGGCGGCAGUGGGUGGUCUGUCCAGUGUGUAACAGGAGCCCAGCUUGCAGCUGGAGCGCAGGACAGCGUCCAAAUGUACAUGGGAGGGGCUGGCUGGCUGGAAGGAGAGGGCGGCGGCUCGCUCCAGAGUGAGGCCCAGGGGCGGCAGCAGGAGCCUGGAGCGCUAUUCCUGGAACAAAGGCAAGCACUACGCGGGAGGGAACAGGAGCGCAGGGGACAUCGCGGCGGCUCGAGGGGGAGGGAGGCGCGGAGGGAGGGCGCCGGUGGCGACCCUGGCGGCGGCCAGUAACACAGCGGACCCUCCCCAGAGCACCCGCCCCCAGGCCCGAGGGUCUCCCGGCCUAGAAGUCCUCGUCCUCCUCCCAUCCAAAGACUCGCUUCAUCUCGGCCAGAAAGCCCCGGUAAUCAUUGAGGAGGGGGACGAGGACUUCUAGGCCGGGAGACCCUCGGGCCUGGGGGCGGGUGCUCUGGGGAGGGUCCGCUGUGUUACUGGCCGCCGCCAGGGUCGCCACCGGCGCCCUCCCUCUGCGCCUCCCUCCCCCUCGAGCCGCCGCGAUGUCCCCUGCGCUCCUGUCCCCUCCCGCGUAGUGCUUGCCUUUGUUCCAGGAAUAGCGCUCCAGGCUCCUGCUGCCGCCCCUGGGCCUCACUCUGGAGCGGGCUGCCUCCGCCCUCUCGUGCCAGCCCAGCCCCUCCCAUGCACAUUUGGACGCUGUCCUGCGCUCCAGUUGCACAAAGCUGAGCUCCUGUUACACACUGACAGACCACUGACAGCCGCCGCUGCCAACCCCCCUCCUCCUCACCAGACUUCCAGACGACUACAUCAUGCUGCCCACAGACCUGCGCUGCCACUGCCAUCG